rnacentral:rRNA from 1 species
UACCAGACUCCUACGGGAGGCAGCAGUGGGGAAUAUUGCACAAUGGGGGAAACCCUGAUGCAGCGACGCCGCGUGAGCGAUGAAGUAUUUCGGUAUGUAAAGCUCUAUCAGCAGGGAAGAAGAUGACGGUACCUGACUAAGAAGCCCCGGCUAACUACGUGCCAGCAGCCGCGGUAAUACGUAGGGGGCAAGCGUUAUCCGGAUUUACUGGGUGUAAAGGGAGCGUAGACGGCGGCGCAAGCCAGAUGUGAAAGCCCGGGGCUCAACUCCGGGACUGCAUUUGGAACUGUGUGGCUGGAGUGUCGGAGAGGCAGGCGGAAUUCCUAGUGUAGCGGUGAAAUGCGUAGAUAUUAGGAGGAACACCAGUGGCGAAGGCGGCCUGCUGGACGAUGACUGACGUUGAGGCUCGAAAGCGUGGGGAGCAAACAGGAUUAGAUACCCGUGUA